GAUCUGUGCACUGAUCGGAUCGAUCACCGUCCUCGUGAUGAUCCAUUGAUCAGGAGCAUUUAGAAAUUAAUCACCAAUGAUACAUGGCUCAAAUUCUCAACUCUUGAGAAUAUGCAUCAUCAUCUUAUUAAUUCCUUGGACGAUUCAUAGACACAUAAAUAAUAUGAAUGAAAAGAUGCCUUUUAUUUAUUCAAUAAUAAAUAGUCAAGUACAAAAUUAUGUCCCUAGAAUUAACAAUGUGUCAGCCAGAUUGGCUUCUAGGGCAUACAUCUAACAUUAGCAUGGUCCACAUGAUCAACAUCAAAAUUUGAAGGUCAUGGUAGAAGUACAAGCCUAACUGAUGCAGAACUGAUUUUGUUCUUUUAGGUUCCUAAGUUUAUUGUCUCAUCAAAUAAUAACUUGAUGAUUAGCCAUUCACUUGUUGUCCCAAAUUAUAGAAAUCCAUAAUGCUCCAUUUUGCAAAGACCCCAAACUACUUCAGAGCACUGUUCUAAAGGUUCCAAGACUUUCUGAUUUAAACUUCUAUGGACCUUGGACUUCUAAACUAUAACUCUCAAUGUCCAUCAUAGCUAAGUUACCCGAAAAGGUUGAGAAUAUCUAGUUCUUUCCUUAUAUAUUCAAAGAAAAACCUAACAUCUAAGACAUUGUUUUGUUUGAUUUCUAAAUUUUUGAUUUUGUUUUUUGUUAAAUCAAAUUAACUUAAAGUCCAAUCACAGGAUCAACCUAGGAAUUUAAGUCAACAUAAAGAAGGGAUAUUUUAGUGAAUAACAUGAUUAGUCUACUGGAAUUUUUUUUGUCUUUUCAUGCGUAAAAUGUAUUUCUAUUAUAUUUCAACAACCCUUAAAUUUUGUAGGUAAAAUGUAUUUCUAUUA
rnacentral:lncRNA from 1 species